rnacentral:tRNA from 1 species
GUAAGUUUAGUUUAAUUAUAAAACAUAAAAUUGUCAUUUUUAAAAUAUUUUUUAAUAACUUAUU